rnacentral:tRNA from 1 species
GCCCAGCUGGCUGGGUUGGUAGAGCAUGUGACUCUUGAUCUUGGGGUUGUGAGUUCAAACCCCAUGUUGGGCU